rnacentral:rRNA from 1 species
UACGAAGGGGGCUAGCGUUGUUCGGAAUUACUGGGCGUAAAGCGCGCGCAGGCGGUUCUCCAAGUCAGUGGUGAAAGCCCGGAGCUCAACUCCGGAACUGCCAUUGAAACUGUUGAACUUGAGGACGAGAGAGGUGAGUGGAAUUCCCAGUGUAGAGGUGAAAUUCGUAGAUAUUGGGAAGAACACCGGUGGCGAAGGCGGCUCACUGGCUCGUAACUGACGCUCAUGCACGACAGCGUGGGGAUCAAACAGG